rnacentral:rRNA from 1 species
GAUGAACGCUAGCGGGAGGCCUAACACAUGCAAGCCGAGCGGUAUUGUUUCUUCGGAAAUGAGAGAGCGGCGUACGGGUGCGUAACACGUGUGCAACCUGCCUUUAUCUGGGGGAUAGCCUUUCGAAAGGAAGAUUAAUACUCCAUAAUAUAUUGAACGGCAUCGUUUAAUAUUGAAAGCUCCGGCGGAUAGAGAUGGGCACGCGCAAGAUUAGCUAGUUGGUGAGGUAACGGCUCACCAAGGCGAUGAUCUUUAGGGGGCCUGAGAGGGUGAUCCCCCACACUGGUACUGAGACACGGACCAGACUCCUACGGGAGGCAGCAGUGAGGAAUAUUGGUCAAUGGGUGCAAGCCUGAACCAGCCAUCCCGCGUGAAGGACGACUGCCCUAUGGGUUGUAAACUUCUUUUGUAUAGGGAUAAACCUACCCUCGUGAGGGCAGCUGAAGGUACUAUACGAAUAAGCACCGGCUAACUCCGUG